rnacentral:rRNA from 1 species
CAUGCAGUCGAGCGGAUGAGAAGAGCUUGCUCUUCGAUUCAGCGGCGGACGGGUGAGUAAUGCCUAGGAAUCUGCCUGNUAGUGGGGGACAACGUUUCGAAAGGAACGCUAAUACCGCAUACGUCCUACGGGAGAAAGCAGGGGACCUUCGGGCCUUGCGCUAUCAGAUGAGCCUAGGUCGGAUUAGCUAGUUGGUGAGGUAAUGGCUCACCAAGGCGACGAUCCGUAACUGGUCUGAGAGGAUGAUCAGUCACACUGGAACUGAGACACGGUCCAGACUCCUACGGGAGGCAGCAGUGGGGAAUAUUGGACAAUGGGCGAAAGCCUGAUCCAGCCAUGCCGCGUGUGUGAAGAAGGUCUUCGGAUUGUAAAGCACUUUAAGUUGGGAGGAAGGGCAGUAAGCGAAUACCUUGCUGUUUUGACGUUACCGACAGAAUAAGCACCGGCUAACUCUGUGCCAGCAGCCGCGGUAAUACAGAGGGUGCAAGCGUUAAUCGGAAUUACUGGGCGUAAAGCGCGCGUAGGUGGUUUGUUAAGUUGGAUGUGAAAGCCCCGGGCUCAACCUGGGAACUGCAUCCAAAACUGGCAAGCUAGAGUACAGUAGAGGGUGGUGGAAUUUCCUGUGUACCGGUGAAAUGCGUACAUAU